rnacentral:rRNA from 1 species
AUUGAACGCUGGCGGCAGGCUUAACACAUGCAAGUCGAGCGGAGAUGAGGUGCUUGCACCUUAUCUUAGCGGCGGACGGGUGAGUAAUGCUUAGGAAUCUGCCUAUUAGUGGGGGACAACAUUCCGAAAGGAAUGCUAAUACCGCAUACGUCCUACGGGAGAAAGCAGGGGAUCUUCGGACCUUGCGCUAAUAGAUGAGCCUAAGUCGGAUUGGCUAGUUGGUGGGGUAAAGGCCUACCAAGGCGACGAUCUGUAGCGGGUCUGAGAGGAUGAUCCGCCACACUGGGACUGAGCCACGGCCCAGACUCCUACGGGAGGCAGCAGUGGGGAAUAUUGGACAAUGGGGGGAACCCUGAUCCAGCCAUGCCGCGUGUGUGAAGAAGGCCUUAUGGUUGUAAAGCACUUUAAGCGAGGAGGAGGCUACUGAGACUAAUACUCUUGGAUAGUGGACGUUACUCGCAGAAUAAGCACCGGCUAACUCUGUGCCAGCCGCCGCCGUAAUAC